GAGGGAGAAGCAGGCUCCCUGCGGGAAGCCCGAUGCAGGACUCGAUCCCAGGACCUCAGGAUCACGACCUGAGCCAAAGGCAGACGUUCAACCACUCAGCCACCUGGGUGCCCCAAUCAUGUCAUUCUAAGAAUCUCUAAGAAAGCAACUCCAGGAGCUCAAGAGACUUACCUAGGGUUACAGAUUCAAGUUAAUGCAGUGCAAAGAUUUGAAUCUAUGAAACCCAAAUUCAGAACCAGAUGUUCCCCUCUUCUGCCAAAUUGCUAUUCCCAAGACUAUCAAGAGGUCAGAAGAAGAACUCACAGUCCACCUCUUUCUUCCGGCUAAGUAGCAAUGGGAUCCUGGAUAUUAUCCAUGCUGGAGAAGAAGGAAGAACAUAUCUGCCUUCGAAUGGUGGAGGAGUAAGGAGGACUCCCGGGUUGAAGGGAGAGGAUUUUGUUGCAGGAGAAAUUUGGAAUACGGACUUUGGGUAAGGGAAAAGUUCCGCUGCAAUGCCGUUUGACAGAAAUAUGGUGCAAGCCAUGGAUAUAAGCUCAUACUUAAUUUUAAAUUUCU